rnacentral:snoRNA from 9 species
UGCCGGUGAUGAAAGAAAUGGUAAAUUAGUCACUCAUGACAAAUUUGUGAUUACAGACAUACCACUACUGCCUUCCUUCUGAGGCU